ensembl:lncRNA
GGGAAGUGUAAGUGCUAAGAAUAUAUGUCAUCUAAAACUGGAGAAAGGUGAGAUGUGUUAGCUGAAUAGAUGCUGUUUGCUGAGGGGCAUUUGAGAGAGAAAAUCAAAUUGGGAGUUAAUUAAACAUUUUAUUCUUAGACAAUUAAAUGUCAACAAAUUGGUGAGCUGGGAGGGAACCAACCCCCUUCAUUUUACUGACAAGGAGAGUGAAUCAUAGCAAAGGAAAGUGACUUGCCCAAGACCACACAGCCAGAUGAUGGUAGAGUGCGGGAACCCAGCCCUUCUGACACACACUGACUCCCAUCCUCUCUAUUGGAUCUUGGGAGAAAGCACUCUAUCAAGAGAGACACAACAAGAAUGAAGAAAGUUUCUAUGGAAAAUCCUCUUCCUGUGGGAAAAUGAGAAGAGGUAAGUGGAUAAAGUGCCAGACGUUGGUGCAUGACAUCACGAGACAAUAAAAACCAGGAUUAACAACCAGGAACAAAAGCUUGUCACAUCUCUGGAGGGCUUUGAUGAGAGACACACUGGGACUUGGUGACCGGCUGUUGGGAACGGGGAGGAGUGGAAACAAGCAGUGCUGGAAUUGGGAGCUUUAUCCGGUCUGAAAAGUGGUCACUGGGGGAGUGACCACUAGCACAAUAAAAAGUCCACAGUGCCUGGUGGGAGAUGAUAGCAAACAGUCUCCCACCAGGCCCUUGCUAAUAUUGAAGAGAAUUUGGAGCUGGAGGAUGUAGACAGCAGCAGCAGUUUCCAGACAGCAAUGAUGCCUGAGGUCAGGAAGCUGACAAUGUCAUGGUUCUGGGUGGUCCAUCUGCUUUGGAAUAAGACCCCAGCCAGCAGCUGGGGUUAUCAGAAAAAUGGUCCAGCUUUUAGGCAAAGAAGCUCGCAUGAACUGGAACUGUCUCUGGCAUAUCUUGGGUACAAUAAUGAAGAAGAUAAGAGCAGAAGACUCAGAGCAUUCACAGAAUUUUAAAGGGACCCCCGAGGAGAAGAAACAAAUUUUUAUAAGAAAAGCAGAACACCGAACACUUGAACAACUGGUUAUUUUCUCUUUAGUGUGAUCAAGAGGGAGGUAUCAGAAAGAAAGCAAUAGUCUAGAUUCAAAAAGCAUCCAAAACUUCAGUACCUUAUUUAAUGUGGCCAAGUGGUUUAGGUAGCAAAGCUCAUUUUUUUACUUACAUGUUCACUUAUUAAUUAUUAUCUUUAUCUCAAUUUCUCUAUUGCAAAAUUAUGACUGAAGUAAUAUAUAUCUCCUAGAGUGGUUGUGAUGAUUAAAGGAGUUUAUAGUAUCAAAGGUUAAGAAAAGUCCCAGAUACAUAAUAAGUAUUCAUAAAGAUUAGCUAUAAUCAUUGCUAUCAUCGUCAUUUUCAUGAUCACUACCAUCGCUAUCAAGAUGAAUCGCUUGUUCAGAGAACAGCGUAACUGAAGACUGUGAGCUCCCUGAAGAUAAGUGUGGCAUAGUUACCACUGUUAUGUCUGCCAAUUAGGAUAGAGCUCAGUGCAAACUAGGGGCUCAACAAAUGUCUAUUGGUUAAAACAAUGGAUAUGUACAUGAAGCUCAGCAGAAACUUGGUGGCUAAAUAAAACAGCAGAAAGGCCAUAGUGGUAUGAAAAGGCAUUCUGAAUAAAUGGAAAUCAGACUCUGAAUAGAUGCCAGGUGGGCAGAUUUUGACAUCAUUCUGCCUAUGACUGAAAACUCCUGCAGAAGACUGAGCCAUAAUAGAGCCCUGAAGUGUGGUCUGUGCCAAGAGAAGGAGAGCUUUGAAAGCCAGGCUAAGAUGGUUGGACUUUGUUGUGAAUCAGAGUACUCACAAUUCUUUCCCACACCAGAAAAACAGUAAGCACUUAAUACAUUUCAACCAAUCUAAAUCUGAGAAGUUGUACAAGAGUUGCAAUUCAGGUGAACUGCAGUCACCAAUUUUAGCAUGCAUGGGACAGGCCAUUCACUUAAUGAACUGUUGUUUUGGGUUUAAAAUUUGUUAUUAUUACUUAUUUGAAAAAUAAUAUGUGACUAUCUUAAAAGUUUAUCAACAGGGACUUCCAGCUAUUGCUUGGGAUAUGAGAAGCUGGAAAGGCCAUUGCUUCUGCAAUAAUAACAAGAAAAAGAUGUGUAAUCUACAAAGUCAGAACUUUUCUUGAACCUAUGAGGGAGCUGAGAUUGCAUGACAAACACGCUAAAAAGACAGGUACUUCUAAAGAGGUGUUAGGAUGCAAACUCUCACUUCUCGGCAGCAGAGCACAUGGGAAAGACAAGGCAAUCGUACCUCGUGGGUAAGAAGGUUUUAGUUAAUAAUUUUUACAAAGGGAUAAAGGCCAAGUUUGGGCUACUGUGAGAAUAUAAGAACCACCAUGAGCCACAGACACAAGGGAAGUUCACACCGAACCACAGAAUCAUCUCCAUUAGUUUCACUCAGAAACUUUCCCAGGUGCUCAUAGGAAAGAAUGAGGACAAGGCAGGAGACCAAAGAAAGCCUCCCAUCUGGGGAGCAGAAUUCACUCUAAGUAGGCACCAACCUGCCCAAAUCUCUCUCCUCUCCAGAACAAAGCCUUAAACGUCCCUCAGAUGUAAGAAAUAAAGUUUGAUCAACAAGAGAAAGUACAGUGUGAUGGAAAUGUUAAAAAUUACAGGUAAGUAUAUUAUCUACAUCAAUUUUAGAGCAUUUAAAGAUUAGAGAAAAUGUAAAAUUAAUAAAAUGUCUAAACCAAAAAUAGUAUAAAUGUAUAAAAUAGUAGCAAUUUAAUCAAG